rnacentral:tRNA from 1 species
AAUUAUAUAGUUUAAAGUAAAACAUUAUAGUUUCAGUAUAAAAAUAAUUUAUUUUAAUUUAUAAUUA